rnacentral:SRP_RNA from 11 species
AGGCUGUAAUGGCUAUUUAGUGGAAUUGUUCUCCUUGGGAAUUUUGGUCUGGGUUCGAACCCUACGGCCAGACGCGGAGGCACGCCUUUAAUUAUUACACCGUUUCGGUGGGGGCAAAGGAGCAAGCUGGGCUCGCCCAGCCUGUUCCUGCACCGUGACUUCCCGUGAACUGCAGUCGUCUCCCCCCUGUGGGGAAGGCGAGCCACCCAGGGACGUGUCUCGGUUCAUCCAACCAAUCGAUCCUUGCGGGCGUUCGUGGCCCCUGCUGGCGCUGUGAGUAAUCCAGUGUCCUCUAGGGCCGGCAACGUAGCUACGGUCUACCCUCCCUAGGAGGGGGGCCCACCUUCACCGCCGUUAGGGGAGUUUCAUCCAGCGAUGGCAAAGGUGACCCGUGAUGGAGGCGGUCGGGAUGGCACUGGUCCCGUGGUUACCUACCUGCAGUCGCGGUGGCAUUAUCCUGCCCUUCAAUGGGCUUUGGGAUUAUCAAGACCACAAUUUU